rnacentral:rRNA from 1 species
AACCAUUGUGAACCUACCACUGUUGCUUCGGCGGCCUCGCCCCGGGCGCGUUCGCGCGGCCCGGACCCAGGCGUCCGCCGGGGGCUCCAAACUCUUGUCUUUUAGUGUAUUUCUGAGUGGCAUAAGCAAAUAAAUCAAAACUUUCAGCAACGGAUCUCUUGGUUCUGGCAUCGAUGAAGAACGCAGCAAAAUGCGAUAAGUAAUGUGAAUUGCAGAAUUCAGUGAAUCAUCGAAUCUUUGAACGCACAUUGCGCCCGCCAGUAUUCUGGCGGGCAUGCCUGUCUGAGCGUCAUUUCAACCCUCAGGACCCGUUCGCGGGACCUGGCGUUGGGGAUCAGCCUGCCCCUGGCGGCGGCUGGCCCUGAAAUCCAGUGGCGGUUCCCUCGCGAACUCCUCCGUGCAGUAAUUAAACCUCUCGCGGCAGGAUAGCGGUUGAACCACGCCGUUAAACCCCCCACUUCUCAAGGUUGACC